rnacentral:rRNA from 1 species
AUUGAACGCUGGCGGAAUGCUUUACACAUGCAAGUCGAACGGCAGCACGGAGGCAACCCUGGUGGCGAGUGGCGAACGGGUGAGUAAUACAUCGGAACGUGCCCAGUCGUGGGGGAUAACGUAGCGAAAGUUACGCUAAUACCGCAUACGAUCUACGGAUGAAAGCGGGGUACCGUAAGGCCUCGCGCGAUUGGAGCGGCCGAUGUCAGAUUAGGUAGUUGGUGAGGUAAAGGCUCACCAAGCCGACGAUCUGUAGCUGGUCUGAGAGGACGACCAGCCACACUGGGACUGAGACACGGCCCAGACUCCUACGGGAGGCAGCAGUGGGGAAUUUUGGACAAUGGGCGCAAGCCUGAUCCAGCCAUUCCGCGUGCAGGACGAAGGCCUUCGGGUUGUAAACUGCUUUUGUACGGAACGAAAAGGCUCUGGUUAACACCUGGGGCUCAUGACGGUACCGUAAGAAUAAGCACCGGCUAACUACGUGCCAGCAGCCGCGGUAA